UACGAAGGGGGCUAGCGUUGUUCGGAAUUAUUGGGCCUAAAGCAUCCGUAGCCGGUUCUACAAGUCUUCCGUUAAAUCCACCUGCUUAACAGAUGGGCUGCGGAAGAUACUAUAGAGCUAGGAGGCGGGAGAGGCAAGCGGUACUCGAUGGGUAGGGGUAAAAUCCGUUGAUCCAUUGAAGACCACCAGUGGCGAAGGCGGCUUGCCAGAACGCGCUCGACGCUGAGGAGCGAAAGCAUGGGGAGCGAACAGG
rnacentral:rRNA from 1 species